AGAUGUGAUGGUGAUUUGGCUGUGAGAUCUGUUGCCCCACUGAGAGCUAGAGUACAUUCAGCUGAUUUGGUUGGCCUGGCAGGUCUCCCCUUCCUCCCUCAAUACUCUAUGUGCAUCCCGCCCCAAGCUGAGUGCUUAGUCUAAGAGGAUGGCCACACCUGUGGAGGAGGACUAAUCCUUGGUCAAGGGUAUACAAACCUCCAAACAUGCAGUCAAGGUCCAUGUGAGUCUUCACUAUCCCACCCUUGAGCAAGAAGAGGGCAGGACUCCUCCCGUCAUGUUCUAUGGAUGUCUGUUCCC
rnacentral:snRNA from 1 species